UACAGAGGGUGCGAGCGUUGUCCGGAAUCACUGGGCGUAAAGGGCGCGUAGGUGGCUUGCUAAGCGUGUGGUGAAAGCCCGGGGCUCAACCCCCGGGUCGGCCGUGCGAACUGGCGAGCUGGAGCACUGUAGAGGCAGGUGGAAUUCCGGGUGUAGCGGUGGAAUGCGUAGAGAUCCGGAAGAACACCGGUGGCGAAGGCGGCCUGCUGGGCAGUUGCUGACACUGAGGCGCGACAGCGUGGGGGAGCAAACAGG
rnacentral:rRNA from 1 species